rnacentral:rRNA from 1 species
GUGGGGAAUAUUGGGCAAUGGGGGCAACCCUGACCCAGCGACGCCGCGUGAGGGAAGACGGCCUUCGGGUUGUAAACCUCUUUUGUACGGGAAGAAGGAAGUGACGGUACUGUACGAAUAAGUCCCGGCUAACUACGUGCCAGCAGCCGCGGUAAUACGUAGGGGACGAGCGUUGUCCGGAAUUACUGGGCGUAAAGGGCGCGCAGGCUGUGCUGCAAGUCAGCUGUGAAAUGUCUGGGCUUAACCCGGGCAUGCGGUUGAGACUGCAGUGCUGGAGUGCUGUAGAGGCAAGUGGAAUUCCCAGUGUAGCGGUGAAAUGCGUAGAUAUUGGGAAGAACACCGGUGGCGAAGGCGGCUUACUGGACUGUAACUGACGCUGAGGCGCGAAAGUGUGGGGAGCAAACAGGAUUAGAAACCCCGGUAGUCC